GUCGAGCGGUAGCACAGGGGAGCUUGCUCUCUGGGUGACGAGCGGCGGACGGGUGAGUAAUGUCUGGGAAACUGCCUGAUGGAGGGGGAUAACUACUGGAAACGGUAGCUAAUACCGCAUAACGUCGCAAGACCAAAGAGGGGGACCUUCGGGCCUCUUGCCAUCAGAUGUGCCCAGAUGGGAUUAGCUAGUAGGUGGGGUAAUGGCUCACCUAGGCGACGAUCCCUAGCUGGUCUGAGAGGAUGACCAGCCACACUGGAACUGAGACACGGUCCAGACUCCUACGGGAGGCAGCAGUGGGGAAUAUUGCACAAUGGGCGCAAGCCUGAUGCAGCCAUGCCGCGUGUGUGAAGAAGGCCUUCGGGUUGUAAAGCACUUUCAGCGAGGAGGAAGGUGGUGAACUUAAUACGUUCAUCAAUUGACGUUACUCGCAGAAGAAGCACCGGCUAACUCCGUGCCAGCAGCCGCGGUAAUACGGAGGGUGCAAGCGUUAAUCGGAAUUACUGGGCGUAAAGCGCACGCAGGCGGUUUGUUAAGUCAGAUGUGAAAUCCCCGGGCUCAACCUGGGAACUGCAUUUGAAACUGGCAAGCUAGAGUCUCGUAGAGGGGGGUAGAAUUCCAGGUGUAGCGGUGAAAUGCGUAGAGAUCUGGAGGAAUACCGGUGGCGAAGGCGGCCCCCUGGACGAAGACUGACGCUCAGGUGCGAAAGCGUG
rnacentral:rRNA from 1 species